rnacentral:rRNA from 1 species
AGAUAUGGAAAGCCCGGGGCUCAACCUCGGAAUUGCAUUUGAACUAGGCAAGACUAGAUAUAGGAGGGGGGUAAGAAUUUCAGGUUGAGCGGUAGAAAUGCGUAGAGAUCUGAAGGAAUACCGGUGGCGAAGGCCGGCCCCCUGGACAGAUACUGACACUCAGAUGACGAAAGCGUGGGGAGCAAACAGGAUUAGAUACCCUGGUAG